UGGGGAAUCUUGCGCAAUGCGCGAAAGCGUGACGCAGCAACGCCGCGUGGGGGAAGACGGCCUUCGGGUUGUAAACCCCUUUCAGUUGGGACGAAGCUCCGUCCGUUAAUAGCGGGCCGGAGUGACGGUACCUUCAGAAGAAGCCCCGGCUAACUACGUGCCAGCAGCCGCGGUAAUACGUAGGGGGCAAGCGUUGUCCGGAAUCAUUGGGCGUAAAGAGCGUGUAGGCGGCCCGAUAAGUCCGCCGUGAAAGUCCAGGGCUCAACCCUGGGAUGCCGGUGGAAACUGUCGGGCUAGAGUCCGGAAGAGGCGAGUGGAAUUCCUGGUGUAGCGGUGAAAUGCGCAGAUAUCAGGAGGAACACCAAUGGCGAAGGCAGCUCGCUGGGACGGUACUGACGCUGAGACGCGAAAGCGUGGGGAGCAAACAGGAUUAGAUACC
rnacentral:rRNA from 1 species